rnacentral:rRNA from 1 species
AUUGAACGCUGGCGGCAUGCCUUACACAUGCAAGUCGAACGGCAGCACGGGUGCUUGCACCUGGUGGCGAGUGGCGAACGGGUGAGUAAUACAUCGGAACAUGUCCUGUAGUGGGGGAUAGCCCGGCGAAAGCCGGAUUAAUACCGCAUACGAUCUACGGAUGAAAGCGGGGGACCUUCGGGCCUCGCGCUAUAGGGUUGGCCGAUGGCUGAUUAGCUAGUUGGUGGGGUAAAGGCCUACCAAGGCGACGAUCAGUAGCUGGUCUGAGAGGACGACCAGCCGCACUGGGACUGAGACACGGCCCAGACUCCUACGGGAGGCAGCAGUGGGGAAUUUUGGACAAUGGGCGAAAGCCUGAUCCAGCAAUGCCGCGUGUGUGAAGAAGGCCUUCGGGUUGUAAAGCACUUUUGUCCGGAAAGAAAUCCUUGGCCCUAAUACGGUCGGGGGAUGACGGUACCGGAAGAAUAAGCACCGGCUAACUACGUG